AGAUGACAACAGAAUGUGUUUCUUUUCUACUGAGAAGACAUUGGAAGCAGAGAACAAUUCCCACACAAUCUAUACUGAGUGAGGUCGCUGUCCUUGGUGAGGAUGGUGUGACUAGAGAAGCUUAAAACGCUAUGGAGGAAGUGGAUUUCAUUCUUUCAGAGGAUGUGUUUCUGCUGCCUGCCAGAGACCCUAAGAAUCCAGUGAUAUUGGGACUGUUUAACACUACCAGGUUCAAGAGAGAAAGAGUGAACUAACCCACUUACAUUCUAGUGUGCCCACAAGGUGAAUGGAG